rnacentral:tRNA from 1 species
GCUGCUGUAGCUCAGUGGUAGAGCGCACCCUUGGUAAGGGUGAGGUCGGGAGUUCAAUUCUCCCUAGCAGCACCA